UCAGUUCGGACUGCAGGCUGCAACUCGCCUGCACGAAGCUGGAAUUGCUAGUAAUCGCGGAUCAGCAUGCCGCGGUGAAUACGUUCCCGGGCUUUGUACACACCGCCCGUCAAACCAUGAAAGUUGGGAACACCCGAAGUCCGUAGUCUAACCGCAAGGAGGACGCGGCCGAAGGUGGGUUCAAUGAUUGGGGUUAAGUCGUAACAAGGUAUC
rnacentral:rRNA from 1 species